rnacentral:rRNA from 1 species
AGAGUUUGAUCCUGGCUCAGGAUGAACGCUAGCGGCAGGCUUAACACAUGCAAGUCGAGGGGUAGAAGUUUUCGGACUUUGAGACCGGCGCACGGGUGCGUAACGCGUAUGCAAUCUACCUUUUACAGAGGGAUAGCCCAGAGAAAUUUGGAUUAAUACCUCAUAGUAUUAUUGAAUGGCAUCAUUUAAUAAUUAAAGUUCCAACGGUAAAAGAUGAGCAUGCGUCCCAUUAGCUAGUUGGUGUGGUAACGGCACACCAAGGCAAUGAUGGGUAGGGGUCCUGAGAGGGAGAUCCCCCACACUGGUACUGAGACACGGACCAGACUCCUACGGGAGGCAGCAGUGAGGAAUAUUGGACAAUGGGCGCAAGCCUGAUCCAGCCAUGCCGCGUGCGGGAAGAAGGCCUUCGGGUUGUAAACCGCUUUUGUCAGGGAAGAAAUCUUCUGAGUUAAUACCUCGGGAGGAUGACGGUACCUGAAGAAUAAGCACCGGCUAACUACGUGCCAGCAGCCGCGGUAAU